GAAUGAACUAUGUCGUUCAUUAAGGUACAACAGCUAUGGCUCUUCAUCUUUGUCCUCUCCACAUCUCCAAUGAGAGGAUCGAGCCAAACAUCAGCUCCACCAUUCUUCCUAAAAAGGCUAUGAGUAGCAGGAACUUCAAGUGUGACCUCUCUCAUAGCCAUACCUCUGUUACUGGGGCCAGAUUCUAAAUGAGUAACAGAGGAAGGAGGGAUAGUGGAAGGAGGAGUAGUAGAAGAGGUAAAAAUAGCAGGAGCUACAGAAACCAAGGAAGGAGCUGAAGGAAUAGGCACGGGAGCAAAAGAAGGAGCGGGAGUAGGAGCAUUUAAAGUAGAUGAAGGAACAACAGAAGUCGGCAAAGGGGAAGAAACACUCACGAUCGAAGGAGGAAUAAAAGAAACAUAGGAGAUAGGAAUUGAAGUAGAUAAAGGAAUUUCAUUAAGAAGAGGUACGAGUUCCCCACUUUUAAAACCACUUACAAAGAGACGGUGAACAGAUUCACUCAUGUCUCUAGGUGUCAGAUCUUCAUCGGAGUGGAUUAGAACAGGCUCGGUAGUGGAAGUAUUAGCAGAAAAGGUAUGAGCAAGAGCAUCUUCAGUUUCUUCUUCAAUAAUAACGCGUCUCCUAACUCUUGGUCUAGAUACCAAUGAGGUAUUAUCUUCUUCCUCAUUCUCAGUUUCUACUACCAUAGCUUUCCUUUUAGCUAUCAGUGCUUUAGCCCUGUCCAAACCAAGGGUAGUGUUGGCAGUAGUACCCAUAGCUAAAGCAACAUCAACGGCCAUCCCUUUUAUUCCACAGCUUUUCUCUUAGCUAUUAACGCAUUAGCCUUGUCCAAGCUAAGGGAGGUAUUGGUAGUAGUACGCAUAGCUAAAGCAACGUCAGCUGCCAUCCCUUUUAUUCCAAAUCCUGACAAAAAGAAGGAUUUAAGUUUGUUAUCAGUAUUUAUUAUAUGUAUCUUGAAAACAUACACGAAAAGAGAUAUAUACCGUGUGUUUUCACUAUCCACCCAUGUAAGGAAGAAAUAGACUUCCAAGUUCUAUCUUCCUUAGAAGUACCAAUGAGGUAUUAUCUUCUUCCUCAUUCUCAGUAUCCACUACCACAGCUUUUCUCUUAGCUAUUAACGCAUUAGCCUUGUCCAAGCUAAGGGAGGUAUUGGUAGUAGUACGCAUAGCUAAAGCAACGUCAGCUGCCAUCCCUUUUAUUCCAAAUCCU
rnacentral:lncRNA from 1 species